ACACUCUUCCCACACCCUACAGCGCGAGUCGAAAGCAAGAAGCUUUCUAAAAAAUCAUUAUUAAAUUUCUUCGGAAACUAAGUGAACCAGCUCAUCAAGACUCAUCCACUUGUCGGCAGGACUGACCUGUUUUGGGAGGAUUUCUUUUGACUUUCAUCCAGUCAAAGGUCUGCGCUGGAGAAGACGUCUCCGACGCAGGGGAGCGACAGGCUUCUUGGUGGCUGGCGUGGAGAGGGGACAAGGAGUUAUUAUACGUGGCCAGGGUCAGGCUCUGGUGCUCUUGUCCAUAUGAGUGGUGAAUGUACUGAGGCGAACCCACCGUGCCCCCAGCAUAACCCUGGUGGUGGUGGUGAUGCUGGACCAUGGGAGAUGAGAGAUUUCCAGAGUAAACAGCGGAAGCGCACGGGGAGUACCCACCACUUACGUCUGCUUCCUGAUUUAACCCAUAGGGGCCGUAAGGCGCACCGAAGUUCUGCGCGCCAUAGCUUGGACCACAACCCGAGUGGGAGUAGGACACCCCCAGGUUCCCAGAAGUCUGGUGACGCGCAGCAGCCCCCCCAGGCAGCCCAGGCGACGGCAGCAGCUGCAGCGGCUGCAACGACAGAUUCCGAGCGCUGGGGCGAAGGGAGCAGAAGCUGCCUUCUGCGCGCUCCCGACUCCGCUCGCCCCCUCCCCCCAGGAGGUGGGAGCUGGGAGGCAUCCCCCGCCUCCGCCUCCUCCCCACCACGCUCUGAAAGAUGAACUGGCAAGAGGUUUCAUGUCAACCUCGGGCUUGUGGAGAAAAAAGGCCAAGCAGAGACUGAAAACUGAUGCAUUCUUAAGCAGGAGAAAUCCAGAGAUCAUCUAAGAAGCUUUACAACUAAAGCUGCAUAGAUUUUACUUUGACAUGUUUGUGACAUUGGAUCGGAUAGAUGAAAUUAAUAGUGAGGAUUAUACGUGAGUUUGCUGUUCCCAUGCCCUCCUUUUCUACAUUAAAAGAAAGGAAGUUUUUCUCUAGGCGGCACAUUUCAAAUGUGUUAGUCAUCCUUAUAUAUAUCUGUGUUCAGUUCUCAUAAAGAAGUUCUCCAAAAACCUGUCCCCACAAGAGGGAAAAUUUCUGUAGACCUUUUACUCUGAACUCCCUCAGUAGCAAUGAAACAUUUUCCCCAAACAUUUCCUUUUGGAACGGUAUUUGCCUAUGACCUUUGACCCACACCAAGCAUGGAAAGAGGAAGAGCUCAGAAAGUUACCCCUACCCCAAUUUCAGCUCCUAGGGAUCCUCAUCCUGCAGAAUGGGAUAGACAAGGGGACCCUCUUGGAGAUAGCCUCCUUGGGAUCACCAGGGUUGGGGAAACAAGGGGGUCUUGUUGGGCAGGGGACGGGAUGUAAGAGGGUCAGUGCUGGCAGUGAGGGAGAUUCAGGCCCUCUGCCCGCUUGCCUCCUUCCUAUACCUUUGUGGGCUUCCUCCGCUCUGGUUUGCAAUAUCCUCCUGGCCGGUUGUAGUUCGCCUGCACAAAGCCGCCUUCAGCCUCAGCCGCUGUCUUUUCUCUCCCUCCACCUCUCUUUCUCCUGGCCUGUUUUCAGGGGAACCCGCAUGGGGUGUUUUCCUUUGGAUCACAAAUUUGCACUGCCACACAAGCCUGCAUACAUACAGGCCAACUACCAUCCCACCUCUUCACACUGCUCCAGCUCCCGCAGGCCGGCUCUGCCUCGGCUGGUCCCCCCCAAGUGCCGCUCUCCUGGAGUGGCUCACAAAGGCAGCCUCCCGCGGCAUCCAGCCCAUAGGCUAGGCUUUGGUAGCUCGGAUCCUUCCCCAGCCUCCACACCACCCCUACCCCACCCCCAGGAAUCGUGGGAGCCAUUCUGCUGUGUAAGAGACCCUUGGUCCUCUGGGCAUGUAGGCCAGCGACCCAGGACUCAGCUAAAAUCUCUUUAAAUGCCUGAGGAGAGUGGGUGAAAGGCGAGCUUGGUUACGAUUAAAAUAAUCGUCUGCAAGUAUCUGGCUCUGCUCAAAACGCCUCUUUCGGGGCUCUUCUAGAAAGAGAAAGAGCGAGGAGGAGACAAAACGCCGCCAAGGCCCCUGAGCCGUUCAUGGCAUCCGUGGCUCAGCCAAGCUGUUGUUUUAAAAGAGCAAUAAAAAUGAAUUAUGACUGAACGCCUUCUAACUUAAUGCUUUCGGACGGGGAUCCCCGGCAAAUACGUAAGAGGAUUUUUAUUUGUGCAUGUGUUCCUGCAAUUGAUCUCUUUGAUGACAUUCUCAUUCAUAGAAAGCGUUUGAUUUAUGAGCUUAGGACGAAUUGCAUCCAGGAGCGGCGCAGCCCUGGCCGCAGCCCGGACGCCUUGCUCGGCGCUAAGCCUGAGCCUAGGUCCGGAAGCCUGCCACAAACGCCACAGGCCGUUGCUGCUGCUGCUGCUGCUGCUGCUGUUACUGCUACUACUACUACUGCUGGGAUUUAGCGGGUGAAGAGGUGACAGAAAGUAGGGAGCAAACCCAUAAGGAAAGAUCGCGAUUUUAUUCUAACUUCCAAGCCUUUGCUGUUAAGAGCAGGGUUCUUAAAUCAACCGGCCCAACACACACAUGUUGCUGCGCUUUCUCACGGUCUGUUUUGCCUGAACCCAUCAACAGCUGGGAGAUUAAUCAACCACUCUGAAAAUGUACGGGGGAAUUGUGGGGGAGGGGUUGGAAUGUAGAUGUUUGGGACCAAUGUGUAUAAAUAAAUGAAUUGUUGAUAACUUAUUGACCUGGUAGCUUGUUAAAGAAACCCAGAGUUGCUCAUUCCUAGAGCUGGGGUUUCAGUAGGCACUUUAUUUCUCCACCUUCAAAAGCUUGAGCUUGCCCAACUCUUAGGCUGCCCAAUCCUGUUUCUAUUACUAAUUUAAAUUUAUGGCUUGAGCCACUACACUGAAAGCCAAAUCCAUUCCCUUCCAAAAAAGAAAAAAGAAAAGAAAGGAAAAAAAAACCCUAAAAACAAAAAGUACUUGUCAGAAGCCCUAGCCAUUUUCUG